rnacentral:miRNA from 1 species
CAGGCACUAAGAAAGGGUUUCU